rnacentral:lncRNA from 1 species
CGAGAGAAAGGGGCGGUCCGGGGUCAGGGCAGAGGCUGUGGCCGCGCCUCCCCAUUGGCCGGGACGCGGUGGGAAGCUGGGGCAGGCAGCCAGUGGCGGGGGCGGAGCUUGCCUGGAGCCCCGCCCCGGCCCCGCCCCCGGCCCGCUGUCCCACUCCCGCGCCCCUCGCGCCCUCCGGCGGGCGGGCCGUCCGAGUUUUUAAAGUGGGCUGGAAGCUGCGGAGGCCGGACAUUCGAGAGCGGCCGGUGUACAGCUCCGGAGUCCGCUGCGCUCCGCUCCAGCUCUCCUGAGGCGGCCGUACAAUCCUCGGCAGUGUCCUGAGACUGUAUGGUCAUCUCAGCGGCCGC